AACGAACGCUGGCGGCAGGCUUAACACAUGCAAGUCGAGCGCCCCGCAAGGGGAGCGGCAGACGGGUGAGUAACGCGUGGGAACAUACCCUUUCCUGCGGAAUAGCUCCGGGAAACUGGAAUUAAUACCGCAUACGCCCUACGGGGGAAAGAUUUAUCGGGGAAGGAUUGGCCCGCGUUGGAUUAGCUAGUUGGUGGGGUAAAGGCCUACCAAGGCGACGAUCCAUAGCUGGUCUGAGAGGAUGAUCAGCCACAUUGGGACUGAGACACGGCCCAGACGCCUACGGGAGGCAGCAGUGGGGAAUAUUGGACAAUGGGCGCAAGCCUGAUCCAGCCAUGCCGCGUGAGUGAUGAAGGCCUUAGGGUUGUAAAGCUCUUUCACCGGAGAAGAUAAUGACGGUAUCCGGAGAAGAAGCCCCGGCUAACUUCGUGCCAGCAGCCGCCGUAAGAC
rnacentral:rRNA from 1 species